UUGUAAUGUCGCACCUGGUCCGACAUAGGACUGCAAAGGAUUAAAGAGCUUGUUCUUCACUGUGAACUGUCUUUGUGUCCAUCAUUACUAAGCACAGCAUCACCUCUACACCUGCUCACUGCUACCCACUUUACCACACACAGCUGUUCUUUAUAUUCUACGAUUAUGCAAUUUCCCGGUGUGCAGAUUGCAUAGUUACAUUGUAGUCACUCUGCACUUAAAGAAAUAGAUUAGGUUGCUCUGGAAACUUUCACGAGCUCAUUCGCUGUUACUUCAUUUGUUUUGCAACAUUUAAAAUUAACUAUAAAGCAUGUGUUAUUGAUUUGUGCUGCACUCAUAUCCCUGGUACAUUAUAUACCCUUGCUUCAUAAGGGACACCAAAUGUAUCUCAGUGGGUCUGACUACACACAUUUGUGGGGUAUUCCUACUCUGCUCUCAAAUGUGUAUGGACAAAUCGAUGAAAAUGUAACAUUUAUAUACUGUAUAUGUCACCAAUGUUAGACUAAUGACAAGUGCAAUACUCCAGUGCUGUCUUCCCAAGGCACCUCAUUAACUUCCUUAAGCUACUGGUUGACCGUCUUAUUUUUGUGAUGAAGCAGCUUCCCAGUACAAGAUCAGGAACACCUUUAUGAACAUGUGUCACCAGAAAGCCUCCUCUGGGUCCCUGCUGAGGACUCGUUUACUACCCAUGCUGCAUGGUAACAGCAUUGAGAGAGACUGCAAUGGAGAUGAUGCCUCAGCCUACUCGAGAGAUUUAUAACAACUGAGUAUGACGGACAAUGAUUGGAUGUUCAAAAGAUUGGAACAGGGUAGAUGUGUGUCAUAACACUUCCACCCGAGGCUUUGGAGUUUUGAGAAAACAAGAGCAUCCAGUGCCAUGCUCUUCAUACUCCAUGAACUCUACUGAUGAAUGAACUACACCCUCCUGGGAUAGUUUUGAAGAGCCGAAGGAAAUGUUGGCUUCUACCUCAAUUACUAGACUGUAAUCCAGCCAGCCAAGAGCCUUAUUGGGUUUGCCAAAGAAAAUAUUUUUCUUUAUAGCUUCCUGCAAAGGUUGGACUUUAUUUCCACAGCAGCUGCUCUUUGCCUGACUGUUAAAAGAGUUUCUGGAGGUACAGAGAGGAGAGUAUUUGAUGCCUGCUAAGAGCCUUCAGUCAGGUGCUGCAAAGGGUUCCACCUGCUUUCUACUCGCAAUAGUUCUUACUUUAACCACAACAUUGCCCAGUUUUCAUUUAUUAGUUUCAAGUGCAUUUUUUAAAUCAUCAUUAUGUAAUUAUCAUUGUUUAUAUUCUAAAAUAAUGGCUGUCAUGUGAAUUUCAAUGGAAAAGUGGUUAUUACUAUGGUGUUCCACUUUAAUUUGUUAUUAAUCUGUGGAAUCCUAUUGGAAUGCAUAUACAUGUGUGCCCAUUAUGUUAGUGUUAAAUUAGCUAAAUGCUUGUGCUAGAAAGGUUUUUCUUGUAAGUGGACUUUUUGUUUUAGUUUACGAUCCAAUCCAUACCAUAUUAUACACUGCUAAGGAUCAUUCAACCAGUCGGAGUCCCAGUUUCCUCUGUUGUAUGCCUCAACAAAUCAGUGGAAAAGUGGUUGUUGGUUUGCAUUGUAAUGUUAAAAGAUAAAGGCAAUUUUUGUAAGUUGGUAAAGUUCAAUGUGCUCUAUUAAAAUGAAGGACACCUACAAAAAUCAUGGAAUCCAUAACAGCCAUGACUUAAUCCCAGCCUUAUCUUGGAUCCUUCUAUUUUUAGGGUGCAUACAAACAAAAUUAAUUUCAGAGGGGCAGUUCAUGGCAAAAUCCAAAUUGGAAUAACUUUUUUUCUGGAUUAUACUAAGCACAGUCACAUGCUUUAGAAUAAAUUCUUGUGAUACGCAAAUGCCAACAAUGUAGAAUGUUUCCUAAAAAUGUUCACUUACACCUGAAUUACAGACUUUUGGGCCUAUAUUUUCCAUUAGUAAUUUGCCCACAGUGUGUGUCUGAUUUGCUUUUAACAAGUGAACUGUGACGGAACUGCAUUCUUCCCUUAUAACUUCAAAACGAAUGGUGAUUUCACCAUGCAAUCAAUGUUAUUUUAUUCUGCCAAUAUUGAGAAAUGUGAAUUAAUUGAUGGAGCUGAAAAAAAACAACAAUUCAGUCCUUCUGAGAUAAUGUCUGUUGAUUUUUAAGCAGUAUUGUGGAUAAAAUAAAUCUUCCAUGGAGUUUCUAGUUUAUUUUGAUGUUUGCUCAUUUUCAAACUCUUAAAGUUUGCCGUUCUUUUAAACAAAGCAUGUACUUGUAAGUGAUAUAAAUGAUGACUUAUUGUCAGACUGGACAUUUGAGUAUAGCUCUGGUUUCAGCAGUCUGGUGAAUUUGAAUUGUAAGAGUUUAGAGUUCAUUAACCCAGAUAUGUGUAGCUGCUGAGCUCUACAGUGUCAUCAGGUAAAUGUACAGGUACUUUUUAUAAUUCUAGAUUGUCCUACAUGUUUUAAUGUAUGCUUAUGUUUAAAAGCUUACUUUGAAAAAUGUGUGAACCAAACAUAUUGUUUUCCACCUUUUCCAUUUUUUUUUAAAUUGUUGUUUGUAAAAAACAGAUCAUUUGUCACUAUCAGUGGGUAAAUCAUAGAUUAUUAUUUUACGGGUCUACUUUGGUUUAGGAUUUCUUUUUUUUUUUUUGGAUUGCUAUACCUUGUCUUAUUCAAAGUGAAUUUCAAUGUCCUACAUUCUAAGCGCUCAAUUUACAAAGCCUAACACAAGCUUGCAACCUGCAGUAAUAGUGACAGAGCUCUGAUUUGACAUCACGUCCUCUAUUAAAUCCCAGGUAAUCACACAAACUCUGCCAGUCAGCAUUAACCAAGAGGUUAUAGGAUGUUUGGGCCAGAUGGCUGAAAAAGUUGAUGUCACCGCAUUCAAAUGAACUGUUUCAUUAAAUACCAACAAGUGAAUUGACAAAGUCUAUAUAUUAUG